GUCAGUGUGGUGUAGCGGUUUGAAUGUUGGACCACGACUCUGGAGAUUAGGGUUCAAUCCCCCCCUUGGCCA